GAUGAACGCUAGCGGCAGGCCUAAUACAUGCAAGUCGAGGGGCAGCACGGGUAGCAAUACCUGGUGGCGACCGGCGCACGGGUGCGUAACACGUAUACAAUCUGCCUUUAACAGGGGGAUAGCCCGGAGAAAUCCGGAUUAAUACCCCAUAAUAUAUUGAGUGGCAUCACUUGAUAUUGAAAGCUCCGGCGGUUAAAGAUGAGUAUGUGCCUGAUUAGUUAGUUGGUGAGGUAACGGCUCACCAAGACGACGAUCAGUAGGGGAUCUGAGAGGACUACCCCCCACACGGAUACUGAGACACGGAUCCGACUCCUACGGGAGGCAGCAGUAAGGAAUAUUGGACAAUGCCCGCAAGGGUGAUCCAGCCAUGCCGCGUGCAGGAAGACGGCCCUAUGGGUUGUAAACUGCUUUUACACCGGAGAAAACCCUCGCUCGUGAGCGAGGCUGAUAGUAUGGUGAGAAUAAGCAUCGGCUAACUUCGUGCC
rnacentral:rRNA from 1 species